AGAACCUCCAAGUUCCUAUAGAAUACUAUGGUCCCCAAACCGGGAUGUUUUCCAUCAAAUAUUGACAGCUGUCAAAAUUAGCCAAUAAAAACUCAGUUGACUGAUUUGGCCACAAACAGAAUACAGGAAUGCGCGUUUUCGAUCAUUCUACGGCGUGCAAAUGACCAGGUUACUCUUAUUCGAUUUUAUUAUGAAUCAGUCUUAUAUUGUAAGUUACGCCCCGCUAUGAAGCAGCCAGGAGAGAAGCCGGAAAAAAAGCCAAGAGAAAAGCCGGGGAGGAAAGCCAAGAAAAAUCUGGAGAGCAGAGAAGGGGCGACCGCCUUGACUUGGUUCCAUCAAAGAAAACAAGGGGAACUCGCGUGGACGGGUCUAAAGUCAAGCUGAAAGGGGCUUCACUCGAAACUUUACUGGCGGAGAGAUCGCAGUCGGUAGAAACGAGAUCUAUACGGAUAUAAUAGAUCGCGGUCUUAGAAAGGCCGGGAUUGCAAGGAAACUUGGUAUAUCUGAAAAAGGCGGCGCAGUAAAGGGGUUCCUAGAAGAUUUGUUUCAAGGCGAUGCAAGAUUGGCGGAAUUACAAUAUGUCCUUGAUCUCAAGCAGGGAAAAAGAGCUGCUAACAUUUUCGACUCCCUUACUCGGAUGGAAGCAAAGGUAAGUAAGAUUUUUGCGCGUAAAAGGCCGAGAGAUGUAGUAAUAGAUGCGUACGAUAGCGCGUAAAUAUCAUGGAAUUAGCGAUAGCUCGCUACAAACAAACUCAGCCUGUGCAUAUUUUGCGCUGACGUUCGCUGAUGCGCAGCUCCUAAGAAUAUAAACGCGAUAUCACAUGUUUGUACAAAAAAAAUGUGAUGCGUAACGUCACUUCAAUCAUCGUUGUUGGGAAAUAAUGUAUCAAAUAACAAUAGCACCAAGGGAGAGAAGUACUAAAACGCCAUUAUGGGCAUUGCAUUCUAUCAUAACAGCAGCAACAAAUUGCAGUCUCUCUACACAUUCGCAGGACCCCAUUUCAACUCAUUUGCAUUUCCAUUGUAAUUACUGCCUCGCCGUUCUAUAGAAAUCGAGGUGUGAAGUCCCAUUGGCCCUGUAUUGUUGCACUUAGUUAUAAAACGCCUGCUUCCUCACGUAUUUCCGCGUAUUCGUAACAAAUAGCAGGCUUUCCGAAAUACCCCUGAAGAAGUCGGCGAUCAAUCGGACGAAACAUGUCGUUGAAAUAAAACAAAUUUUACAUUCAAGACCACAGGCUGCUCAAUAGUAUAUUUUUAAACAAAUUGUUCCAAAACGUGAAGGCCAUCUCUUACUUCUUACUUUUUUCCAUUAUAUAUCUAUAACUGCGCAGAGCCUUAGCAAAUACUACGCGCAUUCGGGAAUUUGCAAAACUCUGCACUACGCGUGCAGAGAAAUGCAAUAAAAACCUAUUAGCCACCUAGUAUUUUCAGACAGAUAAGUAUUAUGGUAUUUUUGCUUACCAAACGAACUCCCGGUUUUUGGACCCUUAGCAGCUAAAUUAUGUCGUUUUUAUGGUGCACUUAAUAUAAUAUACUGAAAAUAUUUUGAUGAGAUAUGCUUUAAAACCUGACGUUAGUAGCAGGUUGAGCGUCAACCCGUUACAGCGGGUUGAGAACCUUCAAUUUCCUAUAGUAUACUAUGGUCCCCAAGCCGCUGCAGCGGGUUGACCAACCGGCUAGAAGCCAACCCGCUGUAGCAGGUUGAGUGUCAACCCGUUACAGUGGGUUGAGAACCUUCAAGCUCCUAUAGUAUACUAUGGUCCCCAAGCCGCUGUAGCGGGUUGACCAACCGGUUAGAAGCCAACCCGCUGUAGCAGGUUGAGCGUCAACCCGUUACAGCGGGUUGAGAACCUUCAAGCUCCUAUAGAAUACUAUGGUCCCCAAACCGGGAUGUUUUCCAUCAAAUAUUGACAGCUGUCAAAAUUAGCCAAUAAAAACUCAGUUGACUGAUUUGGCCACAAACAGAAUACAGGAAUGCGCGUUUUCGAUCAUUCUACGGCGUGCAAAUGACCAGGUUACUCUUAUUCGAUUUUAUUAUGAAUCAGUCUUAUAUUGUAAGUUACGCCCCGCUAUGAAGCAGCCAGGAGAGAAGCCGGAAAAAAAGCCAAGAGAAAAGCCGGGGAGGAAAGCCAAGAAAAAUCUGGAGAGCAGAGAAGGGGCGACCGCCUUGACUUGGUUCCAUCAAAGAAAACAAGGGGAACUCGCGUGGACGGGUCUAAAGUCAAGCUGAAAGGGGCUUCACUCGAAACUUUACUGGCGGAGAGAUCGCAGUCGGUAGAAACGAGAUCUAUACGGAUAUAAUAGAUCGCGGUCUUAGAAAGGCCGGGAUUGCAAGGAAACUUGGUAUAUCUGAAAAAGGCGGCGCAGUAAAGGGGUUCCUAGAAGAUUUGUUUCAAGGCGAUGCAAGAUUGGCGGAAUUACAAUAUGUCCUUGAUCUCAAGCAGGGAAAAAGAGCUGCUAACAUUUUCGACUCCCUUACUCGGAUGGAAGCAAAGAUGUUUUAUUUAUCGAUGCUUCCCUCGGUGGAGGAAGUGGAGGCAAUUCAAGGCCUAAAGAGGGAGGACGUGGAGACCACCUAAAGGGUGUUGCGAGAGAUUCUCAAGCAAGUGAAUGAUGAUGUGGAAUCACGGAGCGGAGUUUUCAAAAAGCACAACGCAAAAACCCGUGGCUUGUUUACCAACAUGUUUCAGCAAUACACAAAUUUUGGAAAAGAAUUAAUGAAACUAGAGGAAAUGGACGGUGGUGAGAGCGCCAGCGAAGACCACGGCGACCUACUACGAAGCGACUAUGAAGGCGAGUGUCGAUGUGGAAGCACAAGCUUCCACAUCAUCUAUAAGGCCCAUGGUGACGACACUGUCUUACUUUGGGCAUGUGAGGAUUUCACAAGAAAAAAAGAUGAAGCUUAUGCAAUGCGAUAACCUCCCUUCCAUGCCCAUGAAGGGCAGAUACAUCAAUGCCCUGAGGGCCCACGGUAUUAAAGUGUCGAGGCUAUCCGUGCUACCGUCACCGAUAGCUAAACAUACAAGAUCCAAGCAGUUAAGUUUAGAGAUCUAAUCCUUCAAAAAACGGACUGCCAGUGGUAGUUAUCUCGGUACAGAAUGAUUUAUAUAUUAUUUUGAUCGAGAGACCAAUCGACGACAUCGACUUGUGCAAAGGAAUAAAUUUUCUGUUGAAAGAGAAUUUGGCUGAAAGCCAUGCUCAAGGUAUACAGAAGCAUUCUCUUUUGCUUCUUUCUUCACUUUUCCCUAUGUUAAAGAAACUUCUGUCCUCCGCUAUGGAUUUUGCAGUUGUUUACUGUAUUUUGUGUCUACUGCUCUCCAAAACCUCAAUCAAGAUGCUUACUGGGGUGAAUAAAACGUUUGCAAGUGGACAAUGCGCUAAAACAAUAAACAUUGCCUUGCCAGUACAAGAUAGAGAUGAAGAAGCCGCCAAGCAAGCAGAAAAAACCUCGAAAAUUUGGUGACUACGUUUUUCAAGGAAAUAGAGAAUGACACAGAUG